GCGCUGGUGGCCCGGCUCCACGCCGGCCCGCUCGGGCCGGCCCCGGCGGAAUCCGGCCCGCUCGGGCCGGCCCCGGCGGA
rnacentral:tRNA from 1 species